CGUAGAAGAGCUGCGGGAGAGGCCGAGAGGCCGUCACCACGUCACACGGGCACCUCACACUCCCUUCCUCAGUGGGCGGUGAGAGGGGCGGGGAGCGGGUCAGGGCAGAGCGGGCAGCAUGGGCAGCGGGUUCUCUCCAGGCUCUGCUGCCAGCUGGAGCCCUCCCUCCAGCCCGUGACCUGCCCGCGAGACGCGUGCGUGCCUGUGCACACGUGUGUGCGUGUGUGCGUGUCGUGCCAGCAGCUCCCCGGGAUCUGCUCUGGCAGCAACUGGGCCUGUUCUCUGAGGCAGCCCAGAGUGGAGGGGGCCAGGAGGGGGCCAGGAGGGGGCCCGGAGCCCUGUGGCUGCCCAGGAGGAGCCCCACCCCCGGUGGCAGAUGUCCUCCCCGGGUCUGAGGACAGCCCGUUCCUUGUCUGAGGCUCCCCCUGCCAGGCUGGGCUGGGGGAGCAUGGAGACCUCCGGCCCCUCGAGGAGAGAUUCCGACUGCAGAAGGAGGCACUUGGAGAAACGGCUGGCCAAGCAGGACCCGGCACCCUCCCGACCUGCCCAGUCCAGCCCUGUGCUUCCUUCCUGGGGCUGGCUCCUCCCCAGGGACCCCCAACAGGCAGGAUGUUAACCCAGGGGCCUAGCCCAGCCCUGAGGGACACAUCAGCCCAGCCCAUCGACCUGCUGCCGCUAGGUGCUGGCAUCUUAGAUCUGCAGUGGGGACUCUCCACGCUGACCGGGCCCAAAGGCACUCAGGAAGUCCUGGAAGAUGGCCCCAGAGCGCAGAGCUGGGCACGUGCUGCCAGGCAAGCUCGUCUUCAUUACCUGGGCUUGGGCCACUCCAGGUGGCCCAACAGUGAGACGGGGCGAGGGGCAGGUGGGCUGUGCAGGGCCACUUGACCUCUGGAGGGGCCAAGGUCAGCCAAAAGGGUGCUCAACCAGUCUUUGUGACAGACACCCAGUAAAAGCCCUGGGCACUGAGGCCCCAGGGAGUGUCCCUGGUGACAUUGUCCCAUGAGGGUUGUCACACGUCCUUCCUGGGAGAAUGAAGUGCUGCACAGCCGCACAGGGAGGACCCAGGAGGUCUGGGUGCAGGGCUGUCCUGGGGUGGCCCCCUGCCCUUCCCUCGGCGGGCUUGAAUCUGCACUUAGGCUGGGAAGAACGGGAGGGUGGGGACUCAGCCAGCCCAGCUCCCACAAGUGACGCAGCCUGAGUGGCCCAGGACCCCACACCCAGCCACGCCCUUCUCAGGGGUGAGAGCCAAACACCCACCCAAAGCCCCUCUGGUGCCAGGAAGGAGGAUGUCUGUGGGGUGCCCCCUGCCAGGCCCCGCUGGGCGACCAGGGUGCCUCCUCUGCCCAGGGCCCCACUGGCUCCCAAGGGCCGGGUGAGGCUCCUCAGGGAUGGGCCAAGGGUCCACUGUGAGAAAGCGGCCAGGCUGGGUCUCCCAGGCAGGGAGUGCCUGACGGACACCGUGUGCCACCAUGGGGAGGGGUCCGAGGACUCUGAGAGUGCAGGGCAGGCACACCUGCCGCGUCUCCUCGCACACCAGGGAGAAGAGCCAGAGGUAGAUGAGGCACUCGCACCAGGAGGGCGUGGGCUGGAAGUCCACCAUGAGCACGUAGGCCAGGAGGCACAGGAAGGCAAAGUAGGACAGGAUGUUCAGGUGGAAGAUGACCACGGGCGCGUUGAAGAAGGCACGGGCGCGGGCGGGGCCGCCGAGGGCCUGCAGCCUCUUCUCCCUGCAGGUGCGGCAGCAGACACCAGAGGGCGCACGUGAGGGGCCGAGGGUGCCACAGUCCCACCCAUUACCACCAGGGGGCCCCAUUCCCCUGAGAUGUGACCCAGGAGUGGAAGGUGUUGGGGGGUGUCACCUGGCAUGAGAGGUCACACGGCGGUUCUGGAGAGACCCUCACAACCAGCCUUGGUCUUUCUGGCCCUCUGGACCCAGGACCCACCCCCACAGCCACAGGAGAAGGGGUCGGACCCACAGCCCAACACAGUGAGGACCCAAAGGUCAACCCCUCCACAUCUGCCCAGGGCCACGGACACGGUGACUCCCACUGGGGGGCAGUAUGAGCCCAGCCCGAUGUGGAGCCCACCUGCAGUCUCCUGGUGCUGGGUGGACACUCAACCUCAGGUGCCCCCAUAAGGGGGGACCAGAUGGCCACCCGGGCUGGGGCCCCAGCUCUGUCCCUGGGCUCCCAUCCAGUUCCCAGUAAAACAGGCUGAGAGCUCAACUGGACGCCACUUGCUUCUGAGGAGGCCACAGGGGAUGCUGGGCCAGGCCUGAACCUGCAGCCACCAUCAGCCACCACUGUCCCCUCCUGGUUGGAGACUACUCCGCCCAAACAGGCUGUGCACCCACAGCACAGGAAGGCUCUCCACCUCGGGGCACUGUGGCCCACCUGGACUGGCUCAGGUCGGUGCCAGGGGCCUUGAUGUGCUCCACCCUCCCCAUCCCCAGGAAGCUAAGGCUGUGGGUCAGGCUGGCCAGCACUCCACCUCUGGCAGGGCCCUGGCACAGCGGCAGGACCCAGGCCCCUUGCUCCCAGGCCCCCAGGAGCACCCACAGCCCCGAGGCCCGCGGCCCCGCUGCACCUGAAGGAGACGAGGCCA